rnacentral:tRNA from 1 species
UGGGUUGUGGCUCAGUGGUGGAGCACUUGCCUAGCAUGUGCGAGGCACUGGGUUCAAUCCCCAGCACUACAU